GAUUCUGGCUCAGGAUGAACGCUAGCGGCAGGCUAACACAUGCAAGUCGAGGGGCAUCGGGAGUAGCAAUACUUGCCGGCGACCGGCGCAAGGGUGCGUAACGCGUGAGCAACAUGCCCGUAUCAGGGGGAUAAUCCAUGGAAACGUGGUCUAAUACCCCAUAGUAAUUAUGUAAGGCAUCUUAUAUAAUUUAAAGCUUUGGUGGAUACGGAUUGGCUCGCGUGACAUUAGCUGGAUGGUAAGGUAACGGCUUACCAUGGCUACGAUGUCUAGGGGUUCUGAGAGGAAGGUCCCCACACUGGAACUGAGACACGGUCCAGACUCCUACGGGAGGCAGCAGUGAGGAAUAUUGGACAAUGGAUGGAAAUCUGAUCCAGCCAUGCCGCGUGCAGGAAGACGGCCCUAUGGGUUGUAAACUGCUUUUGUAUGGGAGCAAUAAGGGCUACGUGUAGUCCGAUGAGAGUACCAUACGAAUAAGCACCGGCUAACUCCGUGCCAGCCGCCGC
rnacentral:rRNA from 1 species